rnacentral:rRNA from 1 species
CCCUUAGAUGUCCUGGGCCGCACGCGCGCUACACUGAUGCAUGCAACGAGUUUAUAACCUUGGCCUGAAAGGUCUGGGUAAUCUUUUGAACGUGCAUCGUGAUAGGGAUAGAUUAUUGCAAUUGUUAAUCUUGAACGAGGAAUUCCUAGUAAACGCGAGUCAUCAGCUCGCAUUGAUUACGUCCCUGCCCUUUGUACACACCGCCCGUCGCACCUACCGAUUGAAUGGUUCGGUGAAGAUCUCGGACUUCGAUAUUUAGUCUUUAUUGAGUUUAUAUUGUGGGAAGUUAUCUAAACCUCAUCAUUUAGAGGAAGGUGAAGUCGUAACA